AACGAACGCUGGCGGCAUGCCUAACACAUGCAAGUCGAACGAGACCUUCGGGUCUAGUGGCGCACGGGUGCGUAACGCGUGGGAAUCUGCCCUUGGGUUCGGAAUAACUCAGAGAAAUUUGAGCUAAUACCGGAUGAUGACGUAAGUCCAAAGAUUUAUCGCCCAGGGAUGAGCCCGCGUAGGAUUAGCUAGUUGGUGGGGUAAAGGCCUACCAAGGCGACGAUCCUUAGCUGGUCUGAGAGGAUGAUCAGCCACACUGGGACUGAGACACGGCCCAGACUCCUACGGGAGGCAGCAGUGGGGAAUAUUGGACAAUGGGCGAAAGCCUGAUCCAGCAAUGCCGCGUGAGUGAUGAAGGCCCUAGGGUUGUAAAGCUCUUUUACCCGGGAAGAUAAUGACUGUACCGGGAGAAUAAGCCCCGGCUAACUCCGUGCCAGCAGCCGCCGUAAGAC
rnacentral:rRNA from 1 species